UUGUUGACAACUUUUCCAGCAAACCCUGAAAUCAGACCAUCGCCGUGAGGUAGCCAGUCUGCAACUCAGUGGUGUGCUGAUCCCCAGCCAGCUCCCCAGCUGAUCUCCAUCUCUACCUCUAUCUCGUAUUCUAUCUUUAUCUCUCCCCUCUAUUACUUCUCUCUAUCUCAUCUCUUACAUCUAUCUAUAUUGAAGGCUCCCUAUCUUUUCUGUCCAUCUACCCCUCUAUCUAUUUUGAGAAACUCUAUCUUGCUUUGUCUAUCCAUCUACCCCUCUAUCUAUUUUGAGAAACUCUAUCUUGCUUUGUCUAUCCAUCUACCCCUCUAUCUAUUUUGAAGGCUCUCUAUC